rnacentral:rRNA from 1 species
CCUACGGGGUGCUGCAGUGAGGAAUAUUGGUCAAUGGACGAGAGUCUGAACCAGCCAAGUAGCGUGAAGGAUGACUGCCCUAUGGGUUGUAAACUUCUUUUAUAUGGGAAUAAAAUGUUCCCCGUGUGGGAUUUUUUAUGUACCAUAUGCAUAAGAAUCGGCUAACUCCGUGCCAGCAGCAGCGGUAAUACGGAGGAUCCGAGCGUUAUCCGGAUUUAUUGGGUUUAAAGGGAGCGUAGGUGGAUUGUUAAGUCAGUUGUGAAAGUUUGCGGCUCAACCGUAAAAUUGCAGUUGAAACUGGCAGUCUUGAGUACAGUAGAGGUGGGCGGAAGUCGUGGUGUAGCGGUGAAAGGCUUAGAUAUCACGAAGAACUCCGAUUGCGAAGGCAGCUCACUGGACUGCAACUGACACUGAGGCUCGAAAGUGUGGGUAUCAAACAGGAUUAGAUACCCUGGUAGUC